UACGUAGGGUGCAAGCGUUAAUCGGAAUUACUGGGCGUAAAGCGUGCGCAGGCGGUUAUGUAAGACAGAUGUGAAAUGCCCGGGCUUAACCUGGGAACUGCAUUUGUGACUGCAUGGCUAGAAUCUGGCAGAGGGGGGUAGAAUUCCACGUGUAGCAGUGAAAUGCGUAGAUAUGUAGAGGAAUACCGAUGGCGAAGGCAGCCCCCUGGGCUAAGAUUGACGCUCAUGCACGAAAGCGUGGGGAGCAAACAGG
rnacentral:rRNA from 1 species